AUUUACCCGCUUUCGCUAUCCUUAGCAAAAUGCGGUCGUGACAUUGCAGGCUGGAAAUCCCCCUGUUUUUGGCAAGUUCUUGGUCUUCAAGGAAAAAGAAAGGUGAGAGGAAAACUUAGCUCCCAUCCAACUGCAUCUCGAGUGGGCUCGGAUUCACCGAAUGGCCGACGGGCUGCCCGAAACGGGCCCUAAAUCGGGCCUGGAGGAACAAGGCCGAGAAACACUCCACAAUUUCAUAUAUAUAUUUUUUCUUUUUUUUUUCUUUUCUUUGGGACUUGAUCCAUGUAACAUAUAUAUGUAUUUUUUUUUUGUUGUUUAUUAGUUAAGCUUGUUCUAUGUAUUACAGCAUUUGAACAUUAGUUGCUCGUAAAUUGUUUUUU